AUUGAACGCUGGCGGCAUGCUUUACACAUGCAAGUCGAACGGUAACAGGUUAAGCUGACGAGUGGCGAACGGGUGAGUAAUGCAUCGGAACGUGCCCGAUCGUGGGGGAUAACGCAGCGAAAGCUGCGCUAAUACCGCAUACGAUCUGAGGAUGAAAGCGGGGGACCGUAAGGCCUCGCGCGAUCGGAGCGGCCGAUGUCAGAUUAGGUAGUUGGUGGGGUAAAGGCCCACCAAGCCGACGAUCUGUAGCUGGUCUGAGAGGACGACCAGCCACACUGGGACUGAGACACGGCCCAGACUCCUACGGGAGGCAGCAGUGGGGAAUUUUGGACAAUGGGCGAAAGCCUGAUCCAGCAAUGCCGCGUGCAGGAAGAAGGCCUUCGGGUUGUAAACCGCUUUUGUACGGAGCGAAAAGGUCCUUUCUAAUACAAGGGGCUCAUGACGGUACCGUAAGAAUAAGCACCGGCUAACUACGUGCCAGCAGCCGCAGUAA
rnacentral:rRNA from 1 species